rnacentral:rRNA from 1 species
UACGUAGGGUGCGAGCGUUGUCCGGAAUUAUUGGGCGUAAAGAGCUUGUAGGCGGUUUGUCGCGUCUGCUGUGAAAAUCCGGGGCUCAACCCCGGACUUGCAGUGGGUACGGGCAGACUGGAGUGUGGUAGGGGAGACUGGAAUUCCUGGUGUAGCGGUGGAAUGCGCAGAUAUCAGGAGGAACACCGAUGGCGAAGGCAGGUCUCUGGGCCACUACUGACGCUGAAGCACGAAAGCGUGGGGAGCAAACAGG